GACGAACGCUGGCGGCGUGCUUAACACAUGCAAGUCGAACGGAAAGGCCUCGUUCGGGGGGUACUCGAGUGGCGAACGGGUGAGUAACACGUGAGUAACCUCCCCUUGACUUUGUGAUAACUUCAGGAAAAUCGGGGUAAUACCGGAUAGGAGCUCCUGCUGCAUGGUGGGGGUUGUGAAGUUUUUGCGGGUUGGGAUGGAAUCGCGGCUUAUCAGCUUGUUGGGGGGGGAUUGGCUUAUCAAAGCGUUGAGGGGUGUCCGGCCUGGGAGGGGGAACGGGCCAAUUGGGACUGAGAUACGGCCCAGACUCCCACGGGAGGCAGGAGUGGGGAAUAUUGCACAAGGGGUGGGAGGCUGAUGCAGCAACGCCGGGUGCGGGAUGACCGGCUUCGGGUUGUAAAACGCCUUCGCUCAUGACGGAGCUUUGUGUGACGGUAGUGGGUAAAGAAGCACCGGCUAACUACGUG
rnacentral:rRNA from 1 species